UCCUCUUCUUCUUUUGUUACAGAAAACCAUCAACGUACUGAUGUUUACUUUCCGGCGCAUGCCUGGUAAAUGUUUUUUAAUAAAUUUAUGUUGAUAAUUUUUGUCAAAAUAUAAAUUAACAAAAUAUUUCUUAUUCAAAGUUGUUUUGGUCAUAUAUUUUCGUAUUUUCAAUUUUUUACAAUUUUUCUUUGUUUUUAAUUUAUACAAUUUUUUUAUUUAGUUUUUAAAUAUUACAUUUUUUAUUUUUAGUUUUUUUUGGUAUAAGAUAAAAAUAAGAGUAUCUGUUUAUUUCAGAUGAGGGUAAGUAUCAAGGAGCACGUCGUGUGUGAGUGCAUCCUUGAAGUUUUCUGUAGUACUGUUUUUGGUAAUUUCAGGGGUUAGUUUGUUCCAGUCUUUGAUGGUUUGACAGAAGAAAGAAAAUUUAUAGCUGUCUUUAUUGCAAUGAAUUUGUCUGUAGGAUUCUUUAUUGGUGGAUCUUGUAGUAGACUGACUCUGUUGUAAUACAUUUUGCGAUGGAAUGGCUAUCUUUUCAUUUACAAUUUUGUGGAACAUUAUAAGCCUUGUUCGUAGUCGGCGUUCUUGUAAUGUUUGCCAUUUCAUGGUAUCUAGCAUCUCAGACACACUGCUGGUGUUGUGAUGUCUAUUGCACACAUACCUUGCUGCCCGUCUUUGUACUUUUUCCAGUGAUUUUAUAUUUUCGUUUGUAAAUGGGUCCCAUACAGUACAACAGUAUUCCAACUUUGGUCUUAUGAGUGUUUGGUAUGCUCUUUCUUUAAUUGUUUGCGAUUGGACUUUAAGGUUUCUUCUGAUGAAACCUAAGGAUUUAUUUGCUUUUGCAGCAGUUUGUUGGAUGUGGGUGUUCCAUUUUAGGUCUGCUGAGAUGGUGAUGCCUAAGUAUUUUGCAUGUUUUACAGAUUCUAAGAUGUGUCCAUACAUGUUAUAAUAAAAGUGGAUGGGAUUUCUUUUUGUUGUUAUAUUCAUGAUGUUACACUUGUCUGGAUGGAAAGACAUAAGCCAAUCUUUUUCCCAUUGUAUGGCAGCUUCUAGGUCUUCUUGAAGCUUGAGGCAGUCGUUUUGAGUUUUAAUUUGUCGGUAGAUUAUACUGUCAUCUGCAAAGAGUCUGAUUUUGCUAUGUUGGAUGUAAUCUGGGAGGUCAUUUAUGUAAAUUAAGAAUAGUAUCGGUCCUAGCACUGUACCCUGUGGGACUCCUGAUGAGACUGGUAUUUUUGAAGAUGACAUGUUUUCUAAAAGUACUGUUUGUGUUCUGUUUGAAAGAAAGGAGUCUACCCAGUUAAUGAUUUGAUCUGAUAUGCCAAAGUAUUUCAUUUUGUAUAGUAAUCUUUUGUGUGGUACCUUGUCGAAAGCUUUAGCAAAAUCCAUGAUAAUAAGAUCUGUUUGUAUGUUCUUGUCGUUGUUUUGGAAUAAUUCAUGUAUCAGUGAGAUGAUUUGUGAUUCACAUGAUCGUUUUGCCCUAAAUCCAUGUUGUAAUUCAUAUAGAGUGUUGUUUGUUUCUAAGUGAUUCAUCAUGCUGCUUGCAAAGAUAUGUUCGAGUAGUUUACAAGCUAUGCAUGUUAAGGAUAUAGGCCUAUAGUUGCCUGGGUUGUGUUUAUCCCCUUUUUUGAAUACAGGUGUGACAUUUGCGUGGUUCCAGUCAGAUGGUACUUUGCCUGUUUGUAGUGAUCUUGUAAAUAUUAAAGUGAGGAUAUCUGUACAUAUUUCGAUGUUUUGUUUUAGUACUUUGCCUGCGAUGGUGUCAGGACCAGUUGCUUUAUUCGGGUUUAUGUUUUUGAUUAGUUUGUAAACACCAUCCCUAGAUAUUCUAAUGGGUUCCAUUAUAGGGUGUUUACUAGGACCUUUGUCUGGAAUGUUAGUGUUUGCUUCAGAUGUAAAAGCAGACUGAAAUUGUUUGUUAAGUAUAUUUGCUUUCUCAGAUGGACUUGAGUGCAGUGUACCUUCACUUCGCAGAGGAGCUAUGCCAGUGUUUUCGUUUUUCUGGCUUUUAAUGUAGGUGUACAGUUUUUUAGGCGUAUUAUUGAAGCAUGUUUGAUCUGGCUCCUUUAUUUCAAUAUCGAAAAUCAUGUUUUCUAUGUAUUGCCAGUACGAGUUUCUCAUUUCUUUCUGGAGCUUGGUUUUUAUCUCUUGGUAUUGUUUUUUAUACUUAGGAUUUUUCUUUUUCUUUUUGUAUAAUUUGUUUUUCUUGUUGAUGAGCUUUUUAAGUUGGUAAUUUACCCAAGGUAGUUUCGAUUUGUUACCAAUGCUUUUUGUUGGAAUAUUCUUGGUAAUAGACUUUUGGAUGUUGGUUUUGAACGUGUUCCAAAGUUCAUCAAGAUUUAAUUUAUCUUGAUCUUGUUUAAGUUCUUUGUAUGUUUCAGUGAGAUCUUUUUCUAUUUGCUCCCAAUUUGCCUUUUUGUAGUGAAGUACUUUAUGAGCCUGUUGUUUAUUUUGUGGCAGAGUUAAGUUUAUUUCACUGUAGACAAUGUCAUGAUCACUUGCUCCGAUUGGUGGUAAUGUUUCGACUCUAUUAACAAAUGAUGGAUUGGUCAUACACAAAAGAUCUAGGGUUGUGUCGUUUCUGGUGUUCUUGUUUAUGACCUGUGUUAAAUUGUUGUCAUUUAAUAUAUCGAGGAGUUGUUGGUGUAGUGAUGCAUCAGGUUUACUAGGUAUGACUGCUGGUGUGUUCCAGUCUAUGUGGCCAAGGUUGAAAUCGCCACUUACCCAGAUAUUUGAGUUUGUUUUCUUACAUAGAACUCUGUUGAGUGAGAUACCAAGUUGUUCUAGGGAUUCUCCUUUAUCUGAUGGUGGUCGAUAGUAAGUGCAUAGGUAAAGUGAUUUGUUACCUUCAUAGGAAAUUUUUGCCCACACAUUUUCACAAUUUGUAUCGAGGUCUUGAUCGGUACCUGUAUUUGUGAUUUGUGAGGAUGUAAACUGGUUUGAGAUAGCUAGUAACACUCCCCCGUAGCCAUCCUUUCUGUUUUUUGUAUAGAUGUUGUAUUGGGAGGCUGGGAUGUAUUCGUAUGGAGAGGUGUCAUUUGAGAGCCAUGUUUCAGUACCAAAUAUUAUGCUGGGCUUACAAGAGUCAAUGAUAAGUUCAAC
rnacentral:lncRNA from 1 species